GACGAACGCUGGCGGCGUGCUUAACACAUGCAAGUCGAGCGGAAAGGCCCUUUCGGGGGUACUCGAGCGGCGAACGGGUGAGUAACACGUGAGUAAUCUGCCCUUCACUUUGGGAUAACGCUCGGAAACGGGUGCUAAUACCGGAUACGACGCACUCAGGCAUCUGAUGUGUGUGGAAACUUUUUGGGUGGGGGAUGUGCUCGCGGCCUAUCAGCUUGUUGGUGGGGUAAUGGCCUACCAAGGCUUUGACGGGUAGCCGGCCUGGGAGGGUGAGCGGCCACACUGGGACUGAGACACGGCCCAGACUCCUACGGGAGGCAGCAGUGGGGAAUAUUGGACAAUGGGCGGAAGCCUGAUCCAGCAACGCCGCGUGAGGGAUGACGGCCUUCGGGUUGUAAACCUCUUUCAGCACCGACGAAGCGCAAGUGACGGUAGGUGCAGAAGAAGGACCGGCCAACUACGUGCCAGCAGCCGCGGUAACAC
rnacentral:rRNA from 1 species